rnacentral:rRNA from 1 species
UACGGGAGGCAGCAGUGGGGAAUAUUGGGCAAUGGGCGAAAGCCUGACCCAGCAACGCCGCGUGAGGGAAGAAGGUUUUCGGAUUGUAAACCUCUGUCCUAAAGGACGAAGGGAGUGACGGUACUUUAGGAGGAAGCCCCGGCUAACUACGUGCCAGCAGCCGCGGUAAU